CUCAGUUCAUGUAUCCAGCACUGUAUAAAUGUAAAAGGAGACCAAUGUGACAGUGGAAUCCACUCUUGAGGAAUUUAAAUGCUAACAGACACUUAACACCAGCUAUGUAACUGGCAUUGCUGUAAGCAGAUUACGGUGGAUGGGGGAGGGGCUAAUAUUACCAUCAUCCCUAUUUUACAGAUGGAGAAACUGACCAGGGAGUGGCAAAGCUUAGCUCUGAAUUCAGACGUGCUCAUUCUUAAGCUGUAGUCUUAACUACUCUGCUACUCUUCUCCAACCUUUUGGAAAUGCUAAGAUUGGAAACAUGAACAAUUCGAGACCUAAAGCUUCGAAACCCCUCCCAAUCAGCACCUUUUCCAUGAAGCCUCCCAUGGCCACCCCAGACAGGUCAGGUCCCCCAGACAUAUGUGGCCUUCCAGAUUCACCUCUCAUAGCUGGAGGAAUGAGUCUCUUGUUGCCUCCUUUCUUAGACCAUGAGCCUCUUGAAGGCGUGUGUCUCCAGCACCUAGAAGAUGUUGAACAAAUAUUUGAGGAGCCAAUGAAUCACUGAGCAAUACUUGUCGGAGUGUGGUCAAGGGCUCUCUUGAUUCUGUGGCAAACAAUUUAUCCGCCGUAGGUGUUAGAUGGCACUUGAGUGUGAAAGUAAGAUUUAGAAAAGUGGAGGGACAAGGAAAAGGACAUUUCAGGUGAGGGCAACAGCCUGGGCAAGAGAGCAGCGGUGGGAAUGGUCAUGGCAUGAACAGAGAGUGCGUUUCCUAUUGCUUCCGCAGUAAAUUACCGAACUUAGCGGUGUAGACACCACAAAUAUAUUCUCUUAUAGUUCUGGAGGUCAGAAGCCCAUAAAAUCAAGGUGUCAGCAGAGCUGUGUUCCUUUGGCAGCCUUCGGGGGAGGAUCUGUUUUCUUGCCUUUUCCAGCUUCUGAGGCCGCCUGAAUUUCUUGGCUCCUGGGCCCUUCCUCACAUCGCUCCUCCGUCUGGCUUCCUGUCACAUCUCCUGCUACUGUCUCUGACCCUGUGGCCUCCCUCUUAUGAAGAUCCUUAGCUAAAAACCUGGAAUAAUCUGAAAUUGGAAAAUAUUCAGAAGACCACGAAAAUCGAUGACUAUUUGGACAAAAGAUUCUACCAUAAGCCAGAAAACUUCUACCCAGAAAUAACACACAC
rnacentral:lncRNA from 1 species